rnacentral:lncRNA from 1 species
UUCAAAUUGGAGGCUCUACUUUUUAAGCCAAGUGUUGGCCUGUUUCCUACCUCCAUUGGGUAACUAAUCCUGGUUGGUUUUCUUUGCAAGCCUUCUCUCCCACAGGUGAACCAUUACCAAGGACUCUGCCACUUAAAAUCCUUCUGAAAAAAUGCCACUCUCUGCCCAUCUCACAGAGUAUCCCCAUGGAGCUGGACCAAGUGGGCUGGAGGAGACCUAUGAUGCUUUGCAUUGGUAAAUUGUACUAGGCCCCGAAGAUGCUAGAAAUCCGCAAGAACAUUGGAGACUACUGGAAGCUCCGGGAACCAGGAAACAAGCCAGUUAAUGAAGUAAGACCCCUUUCUUAGUUUCUUUUGAACUUGCCUGUUCUCUAGCACCAUUUAUCUCCUCUAAGCUUCUCUCUUCCUAGACAUAUUGCAAGUAUUCAAACUUCCACCAUGUGGAAUGGAAGCAAUUUUUAAAAUGGGUUUCUGAGCCAUUUUAUGGCUGCAUAAAAGUUG